CUUUCUUUGCUGGCGACCGGCGCACGGGUGAGUAACACGUAUCCAACCUGCCCUUUACUCGGGGAUAGCCCUUCGAAAGAAAGAUUAAUACCCGAUAGCAUAAUGAUUCCGCAUGGUUUCAUUAUUAAAGGAUUCCGGUAAAGGAUGGGGAUGCGUUCCAUUAGGUUGUUGGUGAGGUAACGGCUCACCAAGCCUUCGAUGGAUAGGGGUUCUGAGAGGAAGGUCCCCCACAUUGGAACUGAGACACGGUCCAA
rnacentral:rRNA from 1 species